rnacentral:lncRNA from 1 species
CUUCUUCUUCUCCCCCUUCAUAAAAUCCUCGUCUUUUCAUGUCAGCAAUCCACCUGUCCUGCACUGCACUGCAUACUGACAAGUUUUGCCACCCAUAAAUGUGUCUGUCCUUAAAAUUCUUUCAUUAAGCUUCACUUCUCAUUUAACGUUAAAGAAAAUUCGAGAAAGAACGAUGGAGAAAUCUGGGUAUGGCCGUGAUGGGAUUUACAGAUCCUUAAGGCCGCCAUUGGUGCUCCCCAAAGACCCCAACCUCUCUGUGGUCUCAUUUCUCUUUAAAAACGUUUCUUCUUUUCCUGAUAAACCUGCACUCAUUUUCACACCUGCCAAACCUUAACUUUUAUCGAAUUCGAAUCCGUAGUUUCCAAGGUUUCUUAUGGUCUCCUCCAAUUGGGCAUCAAGAACAAAGACGUGGUUCUCAUUUUCUCCCCUAAUUCAAUCCAGUUCCCAAACUUUUUCUCAUUUUUUUUUUUUUUUUUUGGAAUCAUUGGGAUAGGAGCCAUAGCCACCACAGCGAAUCCCAUUUACACUGUCUCGAAACUAUCCAAAUAGGUAUAAGAUUGCAAGCCUAAGGUUAUCGUCACUGUCCAAAGCGG